rnacentral:rRNA from 1 species
UACGUAGGGGGGCGAGCGUUGUCCGGAAUCAUUGGGCGUAAAGCGCGUGUAGGCGGCUCGGUAAGUCUGCUGUGAAAGUCCAGGGCUCAACCCUGGGAUGCCGGUGGAUACUGUCGAGCUCGAGUCCGGAAGAGGCGAGUGGAAUUCCUGGUGUAGCGGUGAAAUGCGCAGAUAUCAGGAGGAACACCAAUGGCGAAGGCAGCUCGCUGGGACGUGACUGACGCUGAGACGCGAAAGCGUGGGGAGCAAACAGG